rnacentral:lncRNA from 1 species
GAGCAAAAUCUGCUUCCUGUGAUAACUGCUUGCUGCUUUUUGAACAUUAUCUGUGAAGUCAGAGGCUGAUCUUCACCCACAGAGUCAGAGACGAGGAGGACGGUAAUUGCAUAAGUACUGUCUGUUGUGGAUUCUCCUCACUCCGCACACGGAGAAAGACUGGCUAAAUGGCAGUGCACAAACCAUGAAGACACGCAUGCUGUUAGCCAUCACACAAGCGUGUACCCAACAAGACCUGGAAGGGCAAUAGCAUCAGUGCAAGCACUUUCAAAAGCCUGCACUACCUUGCAGUAUGAAUGCCAGCCUAAAAUCAGGUCAGUUUUUGUCUGCAAUAAACAACUAUUUUAGCAGAGUGCCAGAUGUCAGAAAGCACCUGUCAGGCUACGGGGCUUUAUGAGAUGGGUACGUAACAAAUGAAAUGUACCAAGGCUUAACACAAAGACCUUGAUCUCUGCUUCCAUGACAGCUGAAUCCAAGGAACUUUCAUAAGUUUUGGUCCAAAUGUCACAUAUGCAUUGCAAUAAAAUAUUUGUUUCUUUAGCAGCACCUUACACCUCAAUCUUUUCAUCUAAGGAUAUAUAUAACACAGCUUUUUCAGGAUGCCGAAAGAACAGAUUCACUGGCAUUGACACUGACUUUCCCUUCAGAGGCUGCUGAGGUCAAGAUUUGCAGAGCACAGUAACGCUCCCAGCCCAACUUUGCUCCUUUCAGGCCACUGCAAUGACACAAAAGUCUUGGAGUAUCAGUUCUACUCUUCAACUCUCCCCAUGACGAGGCUCCUGCGUUCAGAUGAGGACAGCUGCUAUCAAGCUGGCAGAGAAAUUUCUGCACCAGGAAUUCACACUGGGUUAGUGCUUCUCUUGGAUCAUGCCUACGUACAUCGCCAUUAUAUUCCGUUCCAUGAACAUGCUGCGUGCACCUAUGGAAGAGCAGAAGACCUGUAUCUAACAUGGCAUGUGAUUAUCAUAAAGCUGAAGCAUAUAGAACAAAAGGCAAAUUGAGAAGAAAAUGAAAGCAGCGGCUUUACAAAGAAAGAUUCUGCCAUCACGGAGCCCGGUUACUCU